rnacentral:rRNA from 1 species
GAGUUGCGAACGGGUGAGUAACGCGUAGGUAACCUGCCUUGUAGCGGGGGAUAACUAUUGGAAACGAUAGCUAAUACCGCAUAACAAUGGAUGACCCAUGUCAUUUAUUUGAAAGGGGCAAAUGCUCCACUACAAGAUGGACCUGCGUUGUAUUAGCUAGUAGGUGAGGUAACGGCUCACCUAGGCGACGAUACAUAGCCGACCUGAGAGGGUGAUCGGCCACACUGGGACUGAGACACGGCCCAGACUCCUACGGGAGGCAGCAGUAGGGAAUCUUCGGCAAUGGGGGCAACCCUGACCGAGCAACGCCGCGUGAGUGAAGAAGGUUUUCGGAUCGUAAAGCUCUGUUGUAAGUCAAGAACGAGUGUGAGAGUGGAAAGUUCACACUGUGACGGUAGCUUACCAGAAAGGGACGGCUAACUACGUGCCAGCAGCCGCGGUAAUACGUAGGUCCCGAGCGUUGUCCGGAUUUAUUGGGCGUAAAGCGAGCGCAGGCGGUUUGAUAAGUCUGAAGUUAAAGGCUGUGGCUCAACCAUAGUUCGCUUUGGAAACUGUCAAACUUGAGUGCAGAAGGGGAGAGUGGAAUUCCAUGUGUAGCGGUGAAAUGCGUAGAUAUAUGGAGGAACACCGGUGGCGAAAGCGGCUCUCUGGUCUGUAACUGACGCUGAGGCUCGAAAGCGUGGGGAGCGAACAGGAUUAGAUACCCUGGUAGUCCACGCCGUAAACGAUGAGUGCUAGGUGUUGGAUCCUUUCCGGGAUUCAGUGCCGCAGCUAACGCAUUAAGCACUCCGCCUGGGGAGUACGACCGCAAGGUUGAAACUCAAAGGAAUUGACGGGGGCCCGCACAAGCGGUGGAGCAUGUGGUUUAAUUCGAAGCAACGCGAAGAACCUUACCAGGUCUUGACAUCCCGAUGCUAUUUCUAGAGAUAGAAAGUUACUUCGGUACAUCGGUGACAGGUGGUGCAUGGUUGUCGUCAGCUCGUGUCGUGAGAUGUUGGGUUAAGUCCCGCAACGAGCGCAACCCCUAUUGUUAGUUGCCAUCAUUCAGUUGGGCACUCUAGCGAGACUGCCGGUAAUAAACCGGAGGAAGGUGGGGAUGACGUCAAAUCAUCAUGCCCCUUAUGACCUGGGCUACACACGUGCUACAAUGGUUGGUACAACGAGUUGCGAGUCGGUGACGGCAAGCUAAUCUCUUAAAGCCAAUCUCAGUUCGGAUUGUAGGCUGCAACUCGCCUACAUGAAGUCGGAAUCGCUAGUAAUCGCGGAUCAGCACGCCGCGGUGAAUACGUCCCCGGGCCUUGUACACACCGCCCGUCACACCACGAGAGUUUGUAACACCCGAAGUCGGUGAGGUAACCUUUUGGAGCCAGCCGCCUAAGGUGGGAUAGAUGAUUGGGGUGAAGUCGGAACAAGGUA